rnacentral:lncRNA from 10 species
AUUUAGUUAUUUCAGUCUUCUCUCUUUUUUUAAGUUAAUCAGCUAAGGGUUGUCAAUUUUAUUGAUCCUUUCAAAAAGCUACUCUUAGUUUUGUUGAUUUUCUCCUACUGUUUUUCUGUUCUCUAAUUUCUCUCUGCUCUAAUCUUUAUUAUCUUCUGCUAGCUUUGGAUUUAGUUUGUUCAUCUUUUUCUAGUUUCCUAAGAUGUAAAGUUAGGUUGUUGAUUUGAGAUCUUCUUUUUUAAUGUACACAUUUAUAGCUAUAAACUUCUCUUAGUGCUGCUUUUGUUGCAUCUCAUAAGUUUUGAAAUAUUGUUUCCAUUCUAAUUUGUCUCAAGGUAUUUCCCAAUUUUCUUUGUGACUUCUUCUUUGACCUAUUGGUCAAAAGUAGUAUGUUGUUUAAUUUCUACAUAUUUGUAGAUUUUUCCGUAUUCUUUGUGCUAUUGCUUUCCAGUUUAAUCCAUUGUGAUGUCCAUUUUCUUGAAUUUGUUAAGACUUGUUUUGUGGUCUAACACAUGGUUUAUCUGGAGACCAUUUUAUGCGCCCUAGAAAAAAAUGUAUAUUCUACUGUUGUUAGGGUGGGGUGCUUUGUAUAUAUCUUUUAGGUCCAAUUGAUCUACCGUGUUGUUUAAUUUCUUUAUUUCCUUAUUGAUCUUCUGCUGGUUGUUCUCUCCAUUUUUUUUUAAGUGGGGUAUUGAAGUCUCCUACUAUUAUGUGGCUAUCUAAUUCUAUCUCCAAUUCUGUCAAAGUUUACUUCAUAUAUUUAAGUGCUCUGAGGUUUGGUGCAUAAAUAUUAAUAAUUGUUAUAUUUUCUUAGAGCAUUGACUUCUCCAUCACUAUAUAAUGUCCUUCUUUUCCUAUCCCUUUUGCUGGUACUCCCUUUUUGGUUUUGGUUUUGUUUUGUUUUGAGAUGGAGUCUCGCUCUGUUGACUAGGCUGGGGUGCAGUGGCACGAUCUUGGCUCACUGCAACCUCUGCCUCCUGGGUUCAAGCAAUUCUCAUGCCUCAGCCUCCAAAGUAGCUGGGACUACAGGUGUCUGCCACCAUGCCUGGCUAAUUUUUUAAUAUUUUUAGUAAAGAUGGGGUUUUGCCAUGUUGGCCAGGCUGGUCUCGAACUCCUGACUUCAGGUGAUCGGCCUGCCUUGUCCUCCCAAUGGCUGGGGUUAUAGGCGUAAGCCACCGCACCCAGCCCCCUUCUUAGUUUUACAAUAACUUUGGCGCACCCAGCCCCCUUCUUAGUUUUACAAUAACUUUGGUGCUGUAGCUUCUCAACUGAACUUUAGCAUCCCCACAGAGGUAUUCUGGUCGGUAUACUGCUAUUAACUUGGUGACUCUGUGGGAGAAGGAGGGCCUGUAGCUUCUUAGUCCACUAUCUUGCUGACUGGUCCUCCGCUUUGAAGGACUCAUGAUUAGGUUGGGUCCACUUGGAUAAUCCAGGUUAAUCUCCCCAUUUAAAAGUUCUUAACCUUAAUCAUGUCUGCAAGUCCUCUUUGCCAUGGAAGGCAAAUAUUUACCAUUUUUGAGGAUUGGAACAUGGACAUUUUGAGGGGACCCUUACUGUCUACUAUACAUGGUUUCUCCAAAGGAUUUUCACAUAUAUUAACUCAUUUAAUAUCAACAAUGUGGUGGAAUAGAAAUUACAGUACUUUUCCUUACAGGAAGACUAAUAGAUUUGUUUUUUGCCCCAGGAUUAUACUAGUAUUAGGGCCUUUACAAAUGGAUCUCAUCAUACCUCUCUAGCUUCAUUUCACACAACUCCCUCCACCUAAUUUCUAGUCGCAGUCACUCCUCACACGUCAUGCCCCUUCACAAUUCAGUCACCAAGCAGUCAGGUAGAGAGGUCUCACUGAACUUUGUCAUAUCCUCUAUUAUCAUACAUAUACACUAGUGUAUAGUGUUUUGCUACACAUUAGCCACACAUCAUAUGUGUACACUGCUAACAAAUGGGGUUUUAGGAUAGAAAUGACUCUAAUUGCCUAGUUUUGCUUGAGAAGUGGUAUAACAGACAACGGGAAACUGAACUGAGGGUGAGACAUACAUCUCUCUAUGUAGAACUUAUAAAAAGAAUGGUUUAGACACAAGUCUACAAGGUGUUGCACAACUUAUAGACUCCUUAGCCAGGUAAGGAUCAUAAAAUGGAAUCUGAGAGGAAAAAGCUUUUGUAAGAGUAGGGAAGAGUUUCUUUAGAGGGAGUGGUAGUCAGGCUGUAAAUCUCCAACCUGGGGAGGAGUGGGAGAUUGCCGCCUUCCAACAUCAGGCCUAGUGACGGGGCAUUAAGUGUACCUUUGAAGAGUGUUUCCUUUAGUUGGAGACAGAGAUGACUGGUGCCUGACUCAUGCCUGAGAAAAUUAAAUGGACUGUUACCCUGGGGGCUGACUCAUGGCCAGGGAUUCCAGAAAACACAAAAAUGCUUGCCUCUCUGAUGGUGAACCAGAAAGGUGCUGCUACACUGAGAUCGACUAGCACUCUCAGGGACUGUCAAAGCAAGGGAUUUUUCCCAUGGAGCAUGUGGAUGACCCGGUGAAACCCUAUCAUGAGGUUGUCUUAAAUCUUGGCCAAGAUCACUGCCGGAGAGGUGAGACUGCCUACCAGAAGAGGAUAGAUACCCAGGGGCUGAGAAAGCAAGAACGUGGUAUAGUGUUAGAAUAAGAACCCUCAAUCCAUCAUACCUCUCUGCCACCUUUCCCCUCUGCACCUAACUUUGCUACUGCUUCCAUCAAGAAGUGGAAUAUAUUGUCUUAUACCUUGAGUCUUCCUGGCCUUGUGACUUUUAUGAUCAAUAACUGCAGCAAAAAUGACAUUGUGAAAACUGAGGAAGAGAACUGGUAUGGGUAUUUCGUUUGAGAAUAUGCCCUCGGCAUGAGAUCAAUGGGUCAAAGUGUAUGUGUUCAACUUUAGCAGAUACUGCUAAACACUUUUACAAAGUGGUUGUACUAAACAUAUUCCCUGUAGCAGUACAAGAGUUCUAUUUGAACUGCAUCUCCUCAACAAUUUAGUAUUUUCUAUUGUUUUUCACUUUAGCUAUUCUGGUAGGUGGGGUAUCCAGUGUGGUUUUAAUUUGCAUUUCCCUGAUGACUAAAGAUGUUAAGCACCUUUUCAGAUGUUUAUUGGCCAUUUGGAUAUCCUCUUUUAUGAAGUGACUGUUUAAGUGUUUUGCUCAUUUUUCUAUUGAGUUGAUGGGUCUUUUCUUAUUAAUUUGCAGGUGUUUGCUUUAUACUCUGCAUAUGAAUCCCUUGUUGGACCUACAUGCUGCAGAUAUCUUCUACUACUCUGGAAGUAACUUUUUCACUCUUAAUAGAGUCUUGCUUUAGAAAAAACAAAAACUUCAGUCAGAGGGCAAUUAGAGGGGCUGCUGAAUGGGAAUAGUUCAAUUCUCUCAAUUCUCCUGUCCCAUUAGCACAAUUACCCACUGGAUUUUUUUUUUGUCUUUUGGAAAAUCUCAGUGCUGGCUGAACGAGCUAUAGUUUUGCUAUUACAACACAAAUAAUAAUUCCCCAACUGCUCAGUAUUUUCUUCUAUCUUUAGUUAAUCUGAGUGUCUAUCACCUAUGCUUUCUUACUUAACCUUUUUGAGCUCAGUUUUGUUAUUGGUACAAAAAUGAAUAAUGUACUUACCUCAUAUGGUUGUUGUGAGAAUCAAGUAAGUUAAUGUAUGAAAAGUGUUUAAAACAGUACCCGGCACAGCAUAAACUACUACUAUUAUAUUCCAAAAUGCUUUUCCUUUGGAAGACUACAUAGACUGUGCAGUUUUCUGUGUCCUCCUUCAAGAUUCAUUUCUUAGAAAUUAAAAACAGGACACCAUUUUUUAAUCUAAAUGGCAAAGAUUAAGGAAGCAAUAAUAUUCAGUGCUGCUGAAGCUGCAGUGAGACCAGUACGCUCAUACACUGAGUUAUUAGAAACUGCUGAAAUCUUUCCAAAGAGCAAUUAAGUAAUGCUUAACAAAAGCCUUUGAUGCAACAAUUACACAAGGUAGUCCAAGACUUUUCCAUAAACCAGUCAUCACUAUGCUAUUUAUUAUAACACAUAUAGAAUAAAAAACUAAAUGCCCUCAAAUAACAAAUGAAAGUAUGGUGAUCUCUAAGCUGGAUUGCCCAGCCAUUAGAAAUAUGUUCAAAUAAUUUUUAAUGGAAAGAGAAAAUUCUUACACUCUGGAAAAGCUUCUCAGAGGAAGUGUUAUUGAGCUGGUUUUUUAAGGAUCAGUAAGGGAGUAGAAAAGAAUUCCAGCCAUAAUGGAUGGGUAUAUAAAGGAAAGGAAGCAUUCAAGAGUUGGAUAAGAUUAUACUCACCCAUAUGAGAUAGUAUAUGUAUUUUUUAGCUUCAAGUCUGGGCAAUGAGGUAAAAAGGUUCCUCAAGGUUCUUUAUUCUAGAAUUCUAUGACAAUGUGUUGAGAAUCUUGUCAUGCAAUAAGGUGUUUGCCACGUAUUAUUCCAAAUGCAAAUAGCUAAACAAGAUCAGAAGAAUUUGAAAAAUUUGCCAAAACCCCAGUCUCAUACCAGAUUCGCUACAUGGGCAAGAAGAUAUGUGAUACUUACAUUAAUUCCUACAAGAAUCUGAAAGUGAAGCUCCACUGGCAGGAGAGCAGAGCGGAGCGGCAGAGGAGGAGAGAAGAGAAGCAGCUGGAGAAAAGCAGCUUGACUUCAGAGGGAUGGCUUGAUGGCAGGACUUCAGAGAAGAGUUUGGCCAGGCAUGGCCAAACUCCAGGGGAAGAUUAUCUGCUCACUCCAUCCCUCUCCAGCUCCCCUUCCCACUGAGAGCCACUUCCAUCUCUCAAUAAAAUUAUCCGCAUACACCACCCUUCAACUGGUUCUUGUGACCUGAUUCUUCCUGGAUGACAGACAAGAACUUGAGUACCAAGAGGGAAGAGUAUAAAAGGCUGUGACCCUCACCCUCCACUGAGGUGGUGAACACUUAGCCAUCUGCGAACAGCAAACGCUAAAAGAGCACUGAUUGUAACACAUGCCCUCUGGGGCUCUGGGGGUCACAGACACCCCCUCCCGGAAGGCAGAGCUAAAAGAGCAUUGUAACAUGCUUGGACUCUGCCGCGAGGCCUGCUCAAAGCUUGAUCCUACCAGAGAGGAGUGACCAGAUGGUUCCAGCAUUUGUUCGCCCCGGCUCCUGCACCUGCUCACCUGUGUGCUUCCGCUUCUUGAGGGGUUCAGAGCUUUGGGCUGAGUAAAUGAGCUACCCCUUCACAAGUCCUGUGAAGAGGUCAAGGGAAAUAUCCCGUCUUAAAGGUAUCAAAAAAUUCCCUUGAGUAUCCACUGUUACUUUUAUGUUAUACUAAAAUUCCAUUUUACUCUUUCAGUUCAUUGUUAAUAAAGUAGUUUAUAAAGAGAAGAAAUAAGAUUUGAAAUAAUGAGGAGGGGGUGGAAGGGAAAGAAGGGUGAUUCCCAGAGAUUAUUUUGUUUACUUUGAGCAUGUUUUUGAUUCAUAGAAAAAACAAAUUUGAUUACAGACUUUAGAAAAAACCUAAAAUUAGUUUUGUAUGUGUAUUUUUAAUAGCAUUAAAUACAUCUGUAAUUAUCUCAGAUAACAAGAAUAUUUUGGUGUACAUCCUUCUAAUCUUUCUUCCUAGAUUUUUAUUUUAUUUUAUUUCUGAGAUGGAGUCUUACUCUGUUGCCCAGACUGGAGUACAGUGGUGCAAUCUCAACUCACUGCAACCUUUGCCUCCUGGGUUCAAGUGAUUCUCGUGCCUCAGCCAGCCAACUGAGUAGCUGGGACUACAGGCAUGUACCACUACACCCGGCUAAUUUUUGUAUUUUUUAGUAGAGAAGGGUUUCACCAUGUUGGCCAGACUGGUCUCGAACUCUUGACCUCAAGUGAUCUGCCUGCCCCGGACUUCCAAAGUGCUAGGAUUACAGGCAUGAGCCACCGUGCCCGGCCUUCUUCCUAGAUUUUUCUAGGAUGUAAGCACCUGACUUGAAGCAGCAAAAAGACAAUACUAAUUAUAACAAUUUCAUUGAGUUUAAAAUGUGUUAAAACACACUUAAACAAAUUAUGUACAAAAUAUUGCAAAUUUAUUUAUUUUUAUUUUUUAAAGAUAGGGUCUCACUCUGCUGCCCAGAUUGGAGUACAGGGGUACAAUCAUAGUUCACUGCUGCCUUGAACUCCUGGGCUUAAGCAAUCCUCUUGCCUUAGCCUCCUGGGUAGCUGGGACUACAAGCACACACCACUACACCUGGUUAAUUUUAAAUUUUUUUGUAGUGAUGGGGGUCUUACUAUGUUGACCAGGCUGGUCUCAAACUACUGGCCUCAUGCAAUCCUCCUGCUUCAACCACCUAAAGUGCUGGGAUUAUAGGCAUAAGCCACUGUGCCUGGCCCAUAUCCCAAAUUUAUAUCAGUAAUUAGCUUGGGGAAGAUAGGAGGAGCUCAGAGUUGCUGAGGAGAUAGUGGGGGCAAAAGAAUACUGGGCGUGGUGGUGCACGCCUGUAGUCCCAGCUACUCAGGAAGCUGAGGCAGGGGAAUCACUUGAACCCAGGAGGCGGAAGCUGCAGUGAGCCGAGGUUGUACCACUGCACUCCAGCCUGGCCACAGAGCGAGAUUCCUUCUAAAAAAAAUAAAAAAAUUUUAGCUUUAUGUCUAAUGUUGUAAUUUUUAUUUAUUUUUAUUAUUACUUUUUAAAUUGAGACAGAGUUUCUGUCACCCAGGUUGGAGUGCAGUGGCGCAAUUAUGGCUCCCUGUAGCCUCCAACUCCCAUGCUCAAACAAUCCUCCCACCUCAGCUUCCUGAGUGGCUGGGACUACAGGUGUACACACCACAUUUGGCUAAUUUUUUAUUUUUUGUAGAGACGGGGUCUUGCUGUGCUGCCCAGGCUGGUCUCAAACUCCUGGCCUUAGGUGAUUCUCCCACCUUGGCUUCCCAAAGUGCUGGGAUCAUAAACAUGAGCUACCACAUCUGGCCUAAUGUUGUAAUUUUUAAAAAGGAAUAGUCAGUGUAUUAUUUAAUAUUAAUAAAAAUUUAAAAAUCCAAACUUAAAAAAAGAGUUGCCAUAUUUAUAAAAUAAAUUUUUGGCUGGGUGUGGUGGCUUGCACCUGUAAUCUCACACUUUGGAAGGCUGAGGUGAGAAGAUCACUUGCGCUCAGGAGUUCAAACCCAUUAUGGACAACAUAGGACAUAGUCUGGAUUCAUCUCUGCAAAAAAUUAAAAUAAAAAAAAAAAGUAGCCGGGUGUAGUAGUGCAAGUCUGUAGUCCCAGCUACUUGGGGGCUGAGGCGGG